CCGCGUGCGCAAGCAGCAGCUGGAAGCGGAGGUGGAGCUCAAGCGUGACGAAGCCCGGCGCAAAGCUGAGGAAGACCGGGUGCGGAAGGAGGAGGAGAAGGCGCGGCGCGAGCUCAUCAAGCAGGAGUACCUGCGGAGGAAGCAGCAGCAGAUCCUAGAGGAGCAGGGGCUCGGCAAGCCCAAGUCAAAGCCGAAGAAGCCGCGGCCGAAGUCGGUGCACCGGGAAGAGUCGUGCAGCGACUCCGGCACCAAGUGCUCCUCCACCCCUGAUAACUUGAGCCGGACUCAGUCAGGCUCCAGCCUGUCCUUGGCCUCUGCGGCGACGACAGAACCCGAGAGCGUUCAUUCCGGGGGCACACCCUCUCAGCGAAUAGUUGCAAUCAUGUCAUCAGGAAUACCAGUGCCCUUCACACGGGCUCCCCAGCUGGU
rnacentral:lncRNA from 10 species